AUUGAACGCUGGCGGCAUGCUUUACACAUGCAAGUCGAACGGCAGCGGGGAGGAGCUUGCUUCUCUGCCGGCGAGUGGCGAACGGGUGAGUAAUACAUCGGAACGUGUCGAGAAGAGGGGGAUAACCACCCGAAAGGGUGGCUAAUACCGCAUAAAUUCUGAGGAAGAAAGCUGGGGACCUAGGAAUAGGCCUAGCGCUUUUUGAGCGGCCGAUGUCGGAUUAGCUAGUUGGUGAGGUAAAGGCUCACCAAGGCGAAGAUCUGUAGCGGGUCUGAGAGGAUGAUCCGCCACACUGGGACUGAGACACGGCCCAGACUCCUACGGGAGGCAGCAGUGGGGAAUUUUGGACAAUGGGGGCAACCCUGGUCCAGCCAUGCCGCGUGUAUGAAGAAGGCCUUAGGGUUGUAAAGUACUUUUGUUAGGGAAGAAAAGUCAGCUGUGAAUAAUGGCUGAUACUGACGGUACCUAAAGAAUAAGCACCGGCUAACUACGUG
rnacentral:rRNA from 1 species